rnacentral:rRNA from 1 species
UACGUAGGUGGCAAGCGUUGUCCGGAGUUACUGGGUGUAAAGGGCGUGUAGGCGGGAGAAUAAGUCAGAUGUGAAAUUCCAUGGCUCAACUGUGGCGCUGCAUCUGAAACUAUUUUUCUUGAGUGAUGGAGAGGAAAGCGGAAUUCCUAGUGUAGCGGUGAAAUGCGUAGAUAUUAGGAGGAACACCAGUGGCGAAGGCGGCUUUCUGGACAUUAACUGACGCUGAGGCGCGAAAGCGUGGGGAGCAAACAGG